GAUUUCAACCAUAUGGAAUCAUCCACGGUGCAGCAGAUGGGUUUACAAGUCUCUUGGUCUCUUUGUGUAACUAACAGCCAAGAAGUCUGAAGCUUGCAUUGUUUACAUGGAAGAUGUUUCUUGCUCUUCUCUUGCCCAUUCCCACGCCAUACCAUCUGAACUUGCCACCUUUUUUUUUGUUUGUUCAGUGCAGUUCUUUAACUUUGUGGGGUCCUCUUCACAUGGACUCCAUUCCACUAUAAGUGGCUACUUCCCUGUGAGUUUAGAUGUAUGAUUUAGAGAUUUUUCAUAGCUGAUGCCUGAAUUAUGUUUCACAACAACCCUAGGAAGUAAGGAAGGCCUGUAUUGUCGUUCCCCUCUUACCAGUAAAGAACCUGAGAUGCAGAGAGACUUACUACUGAGUGACACUGCAGGAGUUCAGAUGGCUCAUCUGACUCCAAGCCCAGUGCUUUUUUUUGAUGGCACACUUUCUUUUCUCCAAGGAAGCAAACUGCCUAGAGCCAGAGGGAACUUCAAGAGAGAUUUCCAUCUUACAGUGAGAAAGCAAAGACUCAGAGAAGGCACUGAGGGGACUUCCCCAAGGCCAUUCUUUGCCAUUAUUCCAUCUUCGACCCUCAGAAACCUCCAUGUGAGCUACCUCUAUGUACCUGGCCUGCAUUUUGCUAGGGAGUUGGGAGACACAAAAGAAAUUUGAGAAAUUUUCUGACAAUUAAGGAAUUUACUAACAAGCCAUGGAGAUAAAAUUAAUGUAUUAAAAUCCUUAAAACAAAUAAGGGGACAUGGGAGGCACUCUCUCCAAGACUGAAAUUUUUUAACCCUGAAUUCAAGUCUGUUCUCAUUGUUCAAGGUUUGGAAGUAUGAUCCACAUGGUAGAUUUAAGUUCAAGCCCUUCCUGACCUAUCAUGUUCUGAAUUCCCACAGUGACCACCUGUGUCACUUUUCUUUUUUUUUUUUUUUAAAUUUUUUUUUUUUCAACGUUUAUUUAUUUUUUUUGGGACAGAGAGAGACAGAGCAUGAACGGGGGAGGGGCAGAGAGAGAGGGAGACACAGAAUCGGAAAUAGGCUCCAGGCUCUGAGCCAUCAGCCCAGAGCCUGACGCGGGGCUCGAACUCACGGACCGCGAGAUCGUGACCUGGCUGAAGUCGGACGCUUAACCGACUGCGCCACCCAGGCGCCCCCUGUGUCACUUUUCUAGCUCAUGUGGGCAAGAUGGUCUUCCUCCUGUUUUAGUGGGAACAGGAAGGACUCAGUGAGGAGGAAGCCAGGAAAAGAUUGUAGUCUUUAGUAGCAUUUUUUCAUGGGUGCUGCAGCCCUCUCAAAGAAAAUAACUUAUUGGGUUAGCUUUCUGUUUUUCCUUAAUCAAGUAAACCUACCUCCUACUUAGCACAAUACUUCUAAAGGGGAAUUAGGCAUUUUACCUAAUGGCUGCUGAAGGAACCUGUGCUUUGCUCUCCCACUUGCCCUGGGAAAGGGCAUUUAUCAUGUUCUAAGGCCUUCAAGACUUCCAGGUUGUCCUGGGGCCCAGAAGAUAUGGCUGCCUAAGGCCAGGUCAUCAUGGCAUUCCAGUAAUGAUAUUUUUCUCACACUCCUCCUUGAUUGUCAGAUGGCAUCUCAUAAGACUGUCUACUUAGAGCAUUCUUGGGCUGACAGAGGUGACCCUUGGAUAGGUGAUGGCCACAUGCUGGCCUGGCCCCAACCUUCUGUUGUAGUACUCUGUCUGCUAAGGCAGAGAGCUGAGCUGGUGCAAUUUUAUGCUCUCUAAACACAUUUACCAGAUCCACCUGGUCCUCAAGAGAGGUAAGAUGGAUUCAAAGUGAAGGAAGGCUCUAGGUCCAUAAUCCAAUUUGGAACCCAAAACAAAGGAAGAGAAAAGAUGGUGAGGAUUCUGUAGCUUCAUGGUGUUGAGGCUUUGAGAACCCCCAAAUAAUGACACACGCUAUGGGAGUACUGCACCAGUCAAGUUCCAGAGGCUGUGCCGUGUGGCAUUUGAAGUGAAUAAAAGCUGGUCAUGCAUUCUUUCUCUUCCACAUACCUACUAUAUGAUCUUGGAUUGGUUAUUUUUUUAAGUGGUUUUCUUUGUUUUUGAGAGAGACAGACAGAUAUACAGACAGAGACAGCAUAAGUCAGGGAAGGGCAGAGAGAAAGGGAGAGAGAGAAAGUCCCGAGCCGGCUCUACACUGUCAGUGCAGAGCCCGAUGCAGGGCUUGAAUCGACAAAGCCACAAGAUUAUGACCUGAGCUGAAACCAAGAGCCAGACACUUAACCAACUGAGCCACCUAGGUGCCCUUGGACUGGUUGUUUUAACAUUAGACAAGUUUCCAUGAACCUGCCUCAAUGGAAGACUGUGGGUAUUAGUGACAAUGUUUGUAGGCACUCAAAAAUUCUGGCUGGCCAUUAUCAUUUUCAUACUAUGUCAUGUGUAGAGAUAAACAUGAUCCAAAUAGAUCAAAAAGUUACAAAGACAAUUCCUGGCCUAGCAGUUUCCUAAAGUGAAUCAAUUAAAUGUGUGUGUGUGUGUGUGUGUGUGUGUGUGUAAUAAACAGUUGUAUAGGGAGCAAUGUUACAUGGCAAACAUCAAGAAAAGUUUCAAAGCUGAAAGUCAAGCCUCUUGCCUAGCCUUUGCUUCUGCACUGCCUAGCCAGCUAGCCUUGGACUAAUCAUGCAACCUCUGUCUUUCUCAGUUCCCUUGUCUAUUGAAAUGAGGAUAAUAGUAGCUCCCUUGUCUAUUGCACAGAGAAGUUUUUGUCAAGGGCAAAUAUCAUUCUGUAGGUCAAAGUGCUCUGAAAACAUAAAAUACUAUAUAAUUUUAAGGGAUAGUUGUUAUUUGAACCUAAAUGAAGCUCUGGACACUGAAAUGUCCUAUGUGAGGACCAAAAUAAUGCUGUAUUUUUGACUGUCUGUGUUUUACUGUCCACUCUCCCUAGCUUGCCAUUCCGAGAUCUGCUCUUCCCUCCUUGCUGCCCAAGUCCCCAGUGUUAUAGCAUUAUAGCAGGAUCCACAGGAUGACUAUAUUGGCCACAAGCUUUGGGGAAAAUUAGAAGACAACAAACAUUGGAAAAGCAUCUUGAAAACAUGUGGUAACAAGACAAAUGUGGCAAUCAUCUGGGGAGGAAGAAAAGGAAUGGCAAUUUGAUUAAUGAUUCCCCUGGAAGUUAUAGGGCAGAGAAAUUCUCUGGCCUUCAUGGAGAGAGAGGAGGACAGUCGGUCCAUCUGCCCCCACUGAGUCUGAACCUGAGCCUGGGCUAUGUGACCCACCUGCCCCUUCCACUUUCUUUCCCUCAGAGCAGUGCUGCCUCCCCCAAACAUUUUCUCAAAAGACUAUUGAACUUCCCUGGACUGACCUCUAUGAAUGUUCUUUCAAUUACCCUAGGAAUCUGGCUGUGCUGUGAUCGGAUUCCUCAAUCCAGCCCAUCUUGUGCUCGGGGAAUGUGAGGAUAAUCCUGGCAAGUGAAGGGGGCAUCUGGAGGACACCCAGCAAUCCCUCUGCAGUGUUGCUCAGAGAGCAAUGGCUAGUACCAUAAAAGGGAAUCCCCAUCUUACA
rnacentral:lncRNA from 1 species